UGCCAGCCGCCGCGGUAAUACGAAGGGACCUAGCGUAGUUCGGAAUUACUGGGCUUAAAGAGUACGUAGGUGGUUAAAAAAGUUGGUGGUGAAAUCCCAAGGCUUAACCUUGGAACUGCCAUCAAAACUUUUUAACUAGAGUAUGAUAGAGGUAAGUGGAAUUUCUAGUGUAGAGGUGAAAUUCGUAGAUAUUAGAAAGAACUCCGAUUGCGAAGGCAGCUUUCUGGAUCAUUACUGACACUGAGGUACGAAAGCAUAGGUAGCGAAGAGGAUUAGAUA
rnacentral:rRNA from 1 species